rnacentral:rRNA from 1 species
GGAAUAUUGCACAAUGGGCGAAAGCCUGAUGCAGCAACGCCGCGUGAGUGAUGAAGGUCUUCGGAUUGUAAAGCUCUGUCUUUUGGGACGAUAAUGACGGUACCAAAGGAGGAAGCCACGGCUAACUACGUGCCAGCAGCCGCGGUAAUACGUAGGUGGCGAGCGUUGUCCGGAUUUACUGGGCGUAAAGGGUGCGUAGGCGGAUGUUUAAGUGAGAUGUGAAAUACCCGGGCUUAACUUGGGUGCUGCAUUUCAAACUGGAUAUCUAGAGUGCAGGAGAGGAGAAUGGAAUUCCUAGUGUAGCGGUGAAAUGCGUAGAGAUUAGGAAGAACACCAGUGGCGAAGGCGAUUCUCUGGACUGUAACUGACGCUGAGGCACGAAAGCGUGGGUAGCAAACAGGAUUAG